CUUCACCGAGCCCAGCAGCAGCGGGUCACCGGUCCGGUCAUGGCCGUAGGUGUCCAGCAGCGCCUGCACCUC
rnacentral:antisense_RNA from 1 species